UACAGAGGGUGCGCGCGUUAAUCGGAAUUACUGGGCGUAAAGCGCGCGUAGGCGGCUUGUUAAGUCGGAUGUGAAAUCCCUGGGCUCAACCUAGGCAUUGCAUUCGAUACUGGCAAGCUAGAGUAUGGGAGAGGAAGGUAGAAUUCCAGGUGUAGCGGUGAAAUGCGUAGAGAUCUGGAGGAAUACCGAUGGCGAAGGCAGCCUUCUGGUCUAAUACUGACGCUGAGGUGCGAAAGCAUGGGGAGCAAACAGG
rnacentral:rRNA from 1 species